rnacentral:rRNA from 1 species
UACGGAGGGUGCAAGCGUUAUCCGGAUUUACUGGGUUUAAAGGGUGCGCAGGCGGAUAUGUAAGUCAGUGGUGAAAUCUCCGGGCUUAACCCGGAACUGCCGUUGAUACUAUAUAUCUUGAAUGCUGUGGAGGUAAGCAGAAUAUGUCAUGUAGCGGUGAAAUGCUUAGAGAUGACAUAGAAUACCUAUUGCGAAGGCAGCUUCUACGCAGAUAUUGACGCUCAUGCACGAAAGCGUGGGGAUCAAACAGG